UACGGAGGGUGCGAGCGUUGUCCGGAAUCACUGGGCGUAAAGGGCGCGUAGGCGGCCUGAUAAGUAGGGGGUGAAAUCCUGAGGCUUAACCUCAGGGCUGCCUUCUAAACUGUCGGGCUCGAGCACAGUAGAGGCAGGUGGAAUUCCCGGUGUAGCGGUGGAAUGCGUAGAGAUCGGGAAGAACAUCAGUGGCGAGGGCGGCCUGCUGGGCUGUUGCUGACGCUGAGGCGCGAAAGCCAGGGGAGCGAACGGG
rnacentral:rRNA from 1 species